CACCUCAUUGUUUACCUUAUUGUUCAAGUGAAGAAAAUUACACGGUUUGUGGUUGAUGGCUUGGCAAAAGUAAUGACCACAUUUUGGCUUUAAAUAUGUCAUGAAAUGCUUAAAGGGUCCCAUACUCAUUUUAUACGUCCAAAGAUGGAAGAAAGUGGAAAAAGCUUUCUAUAAUAUUCAACAUACUUUGUUGGGGCAGCCAUACUCUUUCUUGCAACGAGAUUUCCAAAAUCCCACAAUCAAUAAAGAAAAAUGAAAGAGGGACCACCUUUGCCACAUUCUCUCGUCCACAUGCAUAUACAAAAUGCAAGCAUCAAUUUAAAUUGGAGAAGGGGAUUCACGAAAGUCAAUCAUACAAAAAAGAAUCUCCUUUCCUAAAGGGCCACCACCACUCACGGUUAUGUCUACAUGGCAUACGGAAAUCAUUCUGAGAAAGUAGAAAACCAUACUGCCCAUCAUUCUUUUUGGUUUGCACACACAGCAGCCCCACACUUGCGGUAUUAAGAGGCAGCAGCAAGGACAAUACAGUGGAAGAGCACGGUGAGGGCUGAUUUCAUUAGGAUCUUUCACUCAACCAGCAGAGGCGGCAGCAUCACGUCCAGCAUGGAGGCAGCCCUUAUGCACAUCACGCUCCAGCUUCAUCAACAAAAAUCCAACAUUGUGAAACAGCCUCUCAUGGAAGCUCACGGCCCCUUUGGAGCAGCCCACAUGGAUGAAGGUAGCAAUGAGGAAGUAACAACACCCAAGGAAGGCACUAGCUUGGCACAAGGGGUUCUGAAUUGAAAGCACACAGCAGCUGAAGGCCCUCACAGAAGCAACACACGUUGAUGAAGAGCUCCAUCCAGCACCCUUGGAGAACAUCACGGUCCAGCCACCAAAGAAGCACGAUCAACCAGCAGCCAAUUGAGAGAAGAAAAGAGAGAGAUGUACGGUGAAGCAAAGAAAGACAUGGCUGGAAGAGAAAGCUGGAGCACACCACCGUCCAGCAAGCUCACGGCUGAUACAAGAAAGCAGUGAUGGAGUUCCUCUUUUAUUUGGUGCACACGGAGAAGUGAAGUAGACAGCACAUCCAGCUGCCUUUGAAAGAAGCAAUGGUCCAACAUCAAGAGAAGGAGCUGUGAAGGGCUGGAACAGUCACGGUCCAUCAAAGGAAAUGGCUUCAAGCAUCCAAAACAGAAACAAGCACCCGUGAGCAACAAUAAAAAAAGAAUGUGCAGGAUAAAUGAGGAAGAAGAGGACAAAUAUUAGUUGGCAAACUCACGGGUUCAGAUUUUUGGUUAUAAAACCAGCAGCAGCAGAAGAGAAGGGAUACCAGAGAUUUUAGGUAGUUAGUUUAGGAUAACAGACGGUCUGGAGGAGGCUCUCGCCUCUUCCUCUUUGUUUUCCAUUUUCCAUUUCAAAUAGUAAAAUGAUGUAGAACUUUAUUUCUGAAGCAUAUGGAGAGGCGUUACUGGAAGAAACACUGGAAGAUGAAAAUUUGGAGGACGCCAAUCUCGUAGAAGUGGAAGUGAA
rnacentral:sRNA from 1 species